rnacentral:rRNA from 1 species
CCGGUGCCAGCCGCCGCGGUAAUACCGGCAGCUCGAGUGAUGAUCACUAUUAUUGGGCCUAAAGCGUCCGUAGCCGGUCAAACAAGUCCUUCGGUAAAUCCACCCGCUUAACGGGUGGGCUCUCGAGGGAAACUGCUUGACUUGGGGCCGGGAGAUCUGAGGGGUACGUCUGGGGUAGGGGUGAAAUCCUGUAAUCCUAGACGGACCAUCGGUGGCGAAAGCGCCUCAGAAGAACGGACCCGACGGUCAGGGACGAAAGCUAGGGUCUCGAACCGGAUUAGAUACCCGGGUAGUCCUAGCCGUAAACGAUGCUCGCUAGGUGUUGCGAAAGCUGCGUGCUUUUGCUGUGCCGUAGGGAAGCCAUGAAGCGAGCCGCCUGGGAAGUGCGUCCGCAAGGAUGAAACUUAAAGGAAUUGGCGGGGGAGCACUACAACCGGAGGAGCCUGCGGUUU